CAGCCGCCGCGGGAAUACGAGGGGAGCUAGCGUUGUUCGGAAUUACUGGGCGUAAAGCGCGCGUAGGCGGCUUUUUAAGUCAGAGGUGAAAGCCCGGGGCCCAACCCCGGAAUUGCCUUUGAAACUGGAAAGCUAGAAUCUUGGAGAGGUCAGUGGAAUUCCGAGUGUAGAGGUGGAAUUCGUAGAUAUUCGGAAGAACACCAGUGGCGAAGGCGACUGACUGGACAAGUAUUGACGCUGAGGUGCGAAAGCGUGGGGAGCAAACAGGAUUAGAGACCCCUGUAGUCCCUGUCUCUUAUAC
rnacentral:rRNA from 1 species